CAGUCGCCGCGGGAAUACGGAGGGGGCAAGCGUUAUCCGGAAUUAUUGGGCGUAAAGGGUACGUAGGUGGCCUUUUAAGCGUAGGGUAUAAGGCAAUGGCUCAACCAUUGUUCGCCCUAUGAACUGGAGGGCUUGAGUGCAGGAGAGGAAAGCGGAAUUCCUAGUGUAGCGGUGAAAUGCGUAGAUAUCGGGAGGAACACCGGCGGCGAAGGCGGCUUACUGGACGACAACUGACGUUGGGGCUCGAAGGCGUGGGUAGCAGACAGGAUUAGAUACCCCGGUAGUCCCUGUCUCUUAUACA
rnacentral:rRNA from 1 species